AUUGAACGCUGGCGGCAGGCCUAACACAUGCAAGUCGAGCGGCAGCGGAAAGUAGCUUGCUACUUUGCCGGCGAGCGGCGGACGGGUGAGUAAUGUCUGGGAAACUGCCCGAUGGAGGGGGAUAACUACUGGAAACGGUAGCUAAUACCGCAUAACGUCGCAAGACCAAAGAGGGGGACCUUCGGGCCUCUUGCCAUCGGAUGUGCCCAGAUGGGAUUAGCUAGUAGGUGGGGUAACGGCUCACCUAGGCGACGAUCCCUAGCUGGUCUGAGAGGAUGACCAGCCACACUGAACUGAGACACGGUCCAGACUCCGACGGGAGGCAGCAGUGGGGAAUAUUGCACAAUGGGCACAAGCCUGAUGCAGCCAUGCCGCGUGUAUGAAGAAGGCCUUCGGGUUGUAAAGUACUUUCAGCGGGGAGGAAGGUGUUGAGGUUAAUAACCUCAGCAAUUGACGUUACCCGCAGAAGAAGCACCGGCUAACUCCGUGCCAGCCGCCGCCGUAA
rnacentral:rRNA from 1 species